UGGGGGAAUAUUGCACAAUGGGGGGAAACCCUGAUGCAGCAACGCCGCGUGAGUGAAGAAGUAUUUCGGUAUGUAAAGCUCUAUCAGCAGGGAAGAAAAUGACGGUACCUGACUAAGAAGCCCCGGCUAACUACGUGCCAGCAGCCGCGGUAAAACGUAGGGUGCAAGCGUUGUCCGGAAUUACUGGGUGUAAAGGGAGCGCAGGCGGGCAUGCAAGUUGGAAGUGAAAACUAUGGGCUCAACCCAUAGCCUGCUUUCAAAACUGCGUGUCUUGAGUAGUGCAGAGGUAGGCGGAAUUCCCGGUGUAGCGGUGGAAUGCGUAGAUAUCGGGAGGAACACCAGUGGCGAAGGCGGCCUACUGGGCACCAACUGACGCUGAGGCUCGAAAGCAUGGGUAGCAAACAGGAUUAGAUACCCUGGUAGU
rnacentral:rRNA from 1 species